rnacentral:rRNA from 1 species
UGGGCAUCUAUACAUGCAGUCGAGCGACAGAUAAGGAGCUUGCUCCUUUGACGUUAGCGGCGGACGGGUGAGUAACACGUGGAUAACCUACCUAUAAGACUGGGAUAACUUCGGGAAACCGGAGCUAAUACCGGAUAACAUAUUGAACCGCAUGGUUCAAUAGUGAAAGGCGGCUUUGCUGUCACUUAUAGAUGGAUCCGCGCCGUAUUAGCUAGUUGGUAAGGUGACGGCUUACCAAGGCAACGAUACGUAGCCGACCUGAGAGGGUGAUCGGCCACACUGGAACUGAGACACGGUCCAGACUCCUACGGGAGGCAGCAGUAGGGAAUCUUCCGCAAUGGGCGAAAGCCUGACGGAGCAACGCCGCGUGAGUGAUGAAGGUCUUCGGAUCGUAAAACUCUGUUAUCAGGGAAAGGAAACCAAAUGUUGUAAGUAACCUGUGCACAUCUUGACGGUACCUGAUCAGAAAAGGCCAACGGGCUUAACCUACGUUGCCAGCAGCCGCGGUUAAUACGUAAGGUGGCCAAGCGUUAUCCGGAAAUUAUUGGGCGUAAAGCGCGCGUAGGCGGUGUUUUUUAAGUCUGAUGUGAAAGCCCACGGCUCCAACCGUGGAGGGUCAUUGGAAACUGGAAAACUUGAGUGCAGAAGAGGAAAGUGGAAUUUCCAUGUGUAGCGGUGAAAUGCGCAGAGAUAUGGAGGAACACCAGUGGCGAAGGCGACUUUCUGGUCUGUAACUGACGCUGAUGUGCGAAAGCGUGGGGAUCAAACAGGAUUAGAUACCCUGGUAGUCCACGCCGUAAACGAUGAGUGCUAAGUGUUAGGGGGUUUCCGCCCCCUUAGUGCUGCAGCUAACGCAUUAAGCACCUCCGCCUGGGGAGUACGACCGCAAGGUUGAAACUCAAAGGAAUUUGACGGGGACCCCGCACAAGCGGGUGGGAGCAUGUGGUUUAAUUCGAAGGCAACGCGGAAGAACCUUACCAAAUCUUGACAUCCUUUGGACCGCUUCUAGAAGAAUAGAGUUCUUCCCCUUCGCGGGGAACAAAGUGACAGGGUGGUGCAUGGUUGUCGUUCAGCUCGUGUCGUGAGAAUGUUGGGUUAAGUCCCGCAACGAGCGCAACCCUUAAGCUUAGUUGCCAUCAUUAAGUUGGGCACUCUAAGUUGACUGCCGGUGACAAACCGGAGGAAGGUGGGGAUGACGUCAAAUCAUCAUGCCCCUUAUGAUUUGGGCUACACACGUGCUACAAUGGACAAUACAAAGGGCAGCUAAACCGCGAGGUCAAGCAAAUCCCAUAAAGUUGUUCUCAGUUCGGAUUGUAGUCUGCAACUCGACUACAUGAAGCUGGAAUCGCUAGUAAUCGUAGAUCAGCAUGCUACGGUGAAUACGUUCCCGGGUCUUGUACACACCGCCCGUCACACCACGAGAGUUUGUAACACCCGAAGCCGGUGGAGUAACCAUUUAUGGAGCUAGCCGUCGAAUGUGAUCA